UACGUAGGGGGCUAGCGUUGUCCGGAAUCAUUGGGCGUAAAGCGCGUGUAGGCGGUCCGGUAAGUCCGCUGUGAAAGUCGGGGGCUCAACCCUCGGAUGCCGGUGGAUACUGUCGGGCUUGAGUGCGGCAGAGGAGACUGGAAUUCCUGGUGUAGCAGUGAAAUGCGUAGAUAUCAGGAGGAAUACCGAUGGCGAAGGCAGGUCUCUGGGCUGACACUGACGCUCAUGCACGAAAGCGUGGGGAGCAAACAGG
rnacentral:rRNA from 1 species